GGGACCCCCUCAGUCCGCUGACCGAACCGACGCUCUAUCCACUGAGCCAAACCGACCAGGGCUGGAAGAUUUAUUUUGUGUAGACCAAAAGACAACUAGGACUAAAUUAGUGAAAAUUAUUUGGAGAUGAUUUCAGCUCCACUACACGGACGUUAAAAAAAUUAUUUUUUAAUUGAGGCAAACUUUCCCCAAACAAGUGCCUUGGGAGAUUAAAACAAUAAUAAAACGUAAAAAGCAGAGUCUGGUGGGCAGAUAGAUUUAGAUGGGAAAACUAGAUGACUGUUACAAAUCUAGAGAUUCUUUGAGUUGUGGACAGAGUUGCUCUGUAGGUAAAUGGCUGUGAGAUAUUAACAUUUUAGAUGUUAAAGGGUUUGGUAGAAAGCUUGUAAUUUAUUUAAUAGAAACCUUGGUAACCAAAUAAUAAACAUCUGAACAUCAGAAGCCACAUAAAAGUAACAUAAAAUGAAAAAAGUUUCAAAUCAAGUGUUUCUAAAUAUCAAAGUCUUCUUUUGGUCCAAACAGUUUACUAGUAUCUUGAUAGAAUUGCAGCAAUUAUGUAAAAUCGUGUUUUUUCCCCUUUAUCAUUUCUUUUACUUAAGCACUUUACUUAUUUUUAUGUAUUCCUCAUCUUGUUCUAACAACUAUUUGAUCUUAUUUUAGAUUAACAUCACAGUAGGCCUAACCAUUCCCCUGCAGCUGGAAAUUUUGAAUGUUUAUAUAAAUAUAAAUAUAUUAACUUCCUCUUUAAAGUUUUUACAUAUUUAAUGCGAGGCCUGAUUCUCAGAAAUAAUGACAACUCUGACCAAAGAAAC